CCCUUAGAUGUUCUGGGCCGCACGCGCGCUACACUGAUGCAUUCAACGAGUUUUUCCUGGUCCGAGAGGAAUGGGUAACCUUUUGAAAGUGCAUCGUGCUAGGGAUAGACUAUUGCAAUUAUUGGUCUUCAACGAGGAAUUCCUAGUAGACGUAGUUCAUCAGACUGCAUCGAUUACGUCCCUGCCCUUUGUACACACCGCCCGUCGCUCCUACCGAUUGGAUGAUCCGGUGAGCUAUUCGGACCUUCGCUUCGUCGAUUUUCGGCUUUGUGAGGGGAGGUCUCGCGAACCUUAUCAUCGAGAGGAAGGAGAAGUCGUAACA
rnacentral:rRNA from 1 species